UUCGGCAGGACGAUACCAUCAGCGGUGGUCUGGGGUACCCGGGGUCGAGCCCACCAUUUGCUGGGUUGUACGGUAUUCGAGACCUCUGCUGAUCCUGGAUGGG
rnacentral:pre_miRNA from 1 species